rnacentral:lncRNA from 1 species
UCUCUCAACACGGGUGGCGCAAGGUUUGUUUCAUACUUUGUUUCAAGGUUUGUUUCAGUUUUCUGUAUGUUUAAACCCUUUGUUGGUCGUACAUGGAAUUAGAAUUAGCAGUCCCAUUGAUUGCAUUUUUUUUGUUUAAAUACAAGCUAUUAUCAUUGUUUAACUAGAUAAUGUCUAGUAGU